UGUCUAAGUAUAAGCAAUUAUACCGCGAAACUGCGAAUGGCUCAUUAAAUCAGUUAUCGUUUAUUUGAUAGUGCCUGUCCUACUUGGAUAACCGUGGUAAUUCUAGAGCUAAUACAUGCUAAAAAUCCCGACUUCGGAAGGGAUGCAUUUAUUGGAUACAGAACCAACGCCCUUCGGGGCUUCCUGGUGAAUCACAAUAACUCCGCGGAUCGCACGGCCUUGCGCCGGCGAUGGUUCAUUCAAAUUUCUGCCCUAUCAACUUUCGACGGCUGGGUCUUGGCCAGCCGUGGUGACAACGGGUAACGGAGGGUUAGGGCUUGACCCCGGAGAAGGAGCCUGAGAGACGGCUACUACAUCCAAGGAAGGCAGCAGGCGCGCAAAUUACCCAAUCCCGACUCGGGGAGGUAGUGACAAUAAAUACUGAUCCAGGGCUCUUUUGGGUCUUGGAAUUGGAAUGAGUACAAUUUAAAUCCCUUAACGAGGAACAAUUGGAGGGCAAGUCUGGUGCCAGCAGCCGCGGUAAUUCCAGCUCCAAUAGCGUAUAUUAAAGUUGUUGAGGUUAAAAAGCUCGUAGUUGAACCUUGGCCCUGGCUGGCCGGUCCGCCUCACCGCGAGCACUGGUCCGGCCGGGGCUUUCCCUCUGGGGACCCUCAUGCCCUUCACUGGGUGUGCUGGAGAACCAGGACUUUUACUGUGAACAAAUCAGAUCGCUCAAAGAAGGCUCUCGCUCGAAUGCUUCAGCAUGGAAUAAUAAAAUAGGACGUGCGGUUCUAUUUUG
rnacentral:rRNA from 1 species